GCAUAUCAAUAAGCGGAGGAAAAGAAACCAACAGGGAUUGCCCCAGUAACGGCGAGUGAAGCGGCAACAGCUCAAAUUUGAAAUCUGGUCCCCAGGGCCCGAGUUGUAAUUUGUAGAGGAUGCUUUUGGCGAGGUGCCUUCCGAGUUCCCUGGAACGGGACGCCAUAGAGGGUGAGAGCCCCGUCUGGUUGGAUACCAAGCCUCUGUAAAGCUCCUUCGACGAGUCGAGUAGUUUGGGAAUGCUGCUCUAAAUGGGAGGUAUAUGUCUUCUAAAGCUAAAUACCGGCCAGAGACCGAUAGCGCACAAGUAGAGUGAUCGAAAGAUGAAAAGCACUUUGAAAAGAGGGUUAAAUAGUACGUGAAAUUGUUGAAAGGGAAGCGUUUGUGACCAGACUUGGGCCCGGUUAAUCAUCCAGCGUUCUCGCUGGUGCACUUUGCCGGCCCAGGCCAGCAUCAGUUCGCGCCGGGGGAUAAAGGCUUCGGGAAUGUGGCUCCUCCGGGAGUGUUAUAGCCCGCUGCGUAAUACCCUGGUGCGGACUGAGGUUCGCGCUCCGCAAGGAUGCUGGCGUAAUGGUCAUCAGCGACCCGUCUUGAAACACGGACCAAGGAGUCGUCUUCGUAUGCGAGUGUUCGGGUGUCAAACCCCUACGCGUAAUGAAAGUGAACGUAGGUGAGAGCUUCGGCGCAUCAUCGACCGAUCCUGAUGUUCUCGGAUGGAUUUGAGUAAGAGCAUACGGGGCCGGACCCGAAAGAAGGUGAACUAUGCCUGUAUAGGGUGAAGCCAGAGGAAACUCUGGUGGAGGCUCGCAGCGGUUCUGACGUGCAAAUCGAUCGUCAAAUAUGGGCAUGGGGGGCGAAAGACUAAUCGAACCUUCUAGUAGCUGGGUUUCCGCCGA
rnacentral:rRNA from 1 species